rnacentral:rRNA from 1 species
AGAAAGCAGGAAGCAAUCUUGUGAGUAAAGUGGCGUACGGGUGAGUAACACGUGGAUUAUCUACCCUCUUGUGGGGGAUAACCCUGGGAAACCGGGGCUAAUACCGCAUAAGCUCGAGAGAGGAAAGCAGCAAUGCGCAGGAGGAGGAGUCCGCGGCCGAUUAGCUAGUUGGUAGGGUAAAAGCCUACCAAGGCUACGAUCGGUAGCCGGCCUGAGAGGGCACACGGCCACACUGGCACUGAAACACGGGCCAGACUCCUACGGGAGGCAGCAGUGGGGAAUCUUGCACAAUGGGGGCAACCCUGAUGCAGCGACGCCGCGUGAGCGAUGAAGCCCUUCGGGGUGUAAAGCUCUUUCGGCAGGGAAGAUUAUGACGGUACCUGCAGAAGCAGCUGCGGCUAACUACGUGCCAGCAGCCGCGGUAAUACGUAGGCAGCAAGCGUUGUUCGGAGUUACUGGGCGUAAAGGGUGUGUAGGCGGUUCUCUAAGUCUGGUGUGAAAUCUCCCGGCUCAACUGGGAGGGUGCGCCGAAAACUGGAGGACUAGAGUGCGGGAUGGGAGAGUGGAAUUCCUGGUGUAGCGGUGAAAUGCGUAGAUAUCAGGAGGAACACCUGUGGGUGUAGACGGCUCUCUGGACCGCAACUGACGCUGAGACACGAAAGCGUGGGUAGCAAACAGGAUUAGAUACCCUGGUAGUCCACGCCCUAAACGAUGCAUAUUUUGGUGUGGGCCAUUCAUUUGGUCUGUGCCG